rnacentral:rRNA from 1 species
AUUGAACGCUGGCGGCAGGCCUAACACAUGCAAGUCGAGCGAGCGGCGGACGGGUGAGUAACACGUGGGAACCUACCCAGCAGAGGGGGAUAACUACUGGAAACGGUAGCUAAUACCGCAUACCAUCAGAUGUGCCCAGAUGGGAUUAGCUUGUGGUGGGGGUAACGGCUCACCAAGGCGACGAUCCCUAGCUGGUCUGAGAGGAUGAGCAGCCACACUGGAACUGAGACACGGCCCAGACGCCUACGGGAGGCAGCAGUGGGGAAUAUUGCACAAGGGGCGCAAGCCUGAUGCAGCCAUGCCGCGUGUAUGAAGAAGGCCUUCGGGUUGUAAAGUACUUUCAGCGGGGAGGCGUUACCCGCAGAAGAAGCACCGGCUAACUCCGUGCCAGCAGCCGCGGUAAUAC